rnacentral:rRNA from 1 species
CCUACGGGAGGCAGCAGUGAGGAAUAUUGGUCAAUGGACGAGAGUCUGAACCCGCCAAGUAGCGUGAAGGAUGACUGCCCUAUGGGUUGUAAACUUCUUUUAUAUGGGAAUAAAAUGUUCCACGUGUGGGAUUUUGUAUGUACCAUAUGAAUAAGGAUCGGCUAACUCCGUGCCCGCAGCCGCGGUAAUACGGUGGCUCCGAGCGUUAUCCGGAUUUAUUGGGUUUAAAGGGAGCGUAGGUGGAUUGUUAAGUCAGUUGUGAAAGUUUGCGGCUCAACCGUAAAAUUGCGGUUGAAACUGGCAGUCUUGAGUACAGUAGAGGUGGGCGGAAUUCGUGGUGUAGCGGUGACAUGCUGAGAUAUCACGAAGAACUCCGAUUGCGAAGGCAGCUCACUGGACUGCAACUGACACUGAGGCUCGAAAGUGUGGGUAUCAAACAGGAUUAGAUACCCGGGUAGUC